rnacentral:rRNA from 1 species
AGUAUUGGACAAUGGGCGCAAGCCUGAUCCAGCCAUGCCGCGUGAGGGAUGAAGGCCCUAGGGUUGUAAAGCUCUUUCAUCGGUGAAGAUAAUGACGGUAACCGGAGAAGAAGCCCCGGCUAACUUCGUGCUCGCAGCCGCGGUAAUACGAAGGGGGCUAGCGUUGUUCGGAAUUACUGGGCGUAAAGCGCACGUAGGCGGAUGGGUCAGUUAGGGGUGAAAUCCCGGGGCUCAACCCCGGAACUGCCUUUAAUACUGCCGGUCUAGAGUCCGAGAGAGGUGAGUGGAAUUCCGAGUGUAGAGGUGAAAUUCGUAGAUAUUCGGAGGAACACCAGUGGCGAAGGCGGCUCACUGGCUCGGUACUGACGCUGAGGUGCGAAAGCGUGGGGAGCAAAC